UAAGGAAUAUUGGUCAAUGGACGAAAGUCUGAACCAGCCAUGCCGCGUGGAGGAUGAAGGUCCUCUGGAUUGUAAACUUCUUUUAUCUGGGACGAAAAAAGGGUUUUCUAACUCACUUGACGGUACCAGAUGAAUAAGCACCGGCUAACUCCGUGCCAGCAGCCGCGGUAAUACGGAGGGUGCAAGCGUUAUCCGGAUUCACUGGGUUUAAAGGGUGCGUAGGCGGGCAUGUAAGUCAGUGGUGAAAUCUCCGGGCUUAACUCGGAAACUGCCAUUGAUACUAUAUGUCUUGAAUUAUCUGGAGGUUAGCGGAAUAUGUCAUGUAGUGGUGAAAUGCUUAGAUAUGACAUAGAACACCCAUUGCGAAGGCAGCUAACUACGGGUAUAUUGACGCUGAGGCACGAAAGCGUGGGGAUCAAACA
rnacentral:rRNA from 1 species